rnacentral:rRNA from 1 species
ACCAGACUCCUACGGGAGGCAGCAGUGAGGAAUAUUGGUCAAUGGCCGAGAGGCUGAACCAGCCAAGUCGCGUGAGGGAUGACGGCCCUACGGGUUGUAAACCUCUUUUGUCGGGGAGCAAAAGACGCCACGCGUGGCGUUCCGAGAGUACCCGAAGAAAACGCAUCGGCUAACUCCGUGCCAGCAGCCGCGGUAAUACGGGGGAUGCGAGCGUUAUCCGGAUUUAUUGGGUUUAAAGGGUGCGUAGGCGGCGCGUCAGGUCAGCGGUGAAAUCCCGGGGCUCAACCCCGGGGCUGCCGUUGAAACCGGAGCGCUAGAAUUCCGAUGCCGUCGGAGGAAUGUGUGGUGUAGCGGUGAAAUGCAUAGAUAUCACACAGAACACCGAUUGCGAAGGCAUCUGACGAAUCGGAGAUUGACGCUGAUGCACGAAAGCGUGGGUAUCGAACAGGAUUAGAUACCCCAGUA